GACGUAGGGCGCGAGCGUUGUCCGGAUUUAUUGGGCGUAAAGAGCUCGUAGGCGGUUUGUCGCGUCUGCUGUGAAAACCUAAGGCUCAACCUUGGGCUUGCAGUGGGUACGGGCAGACUAGAGUGCGGUAGGGGGUGACUGGAAUUCCUGGUGUAGCGGUGGAAUGCGCAGAUAUCAGGAGGAACACCGAUGGCGAAGGCAGGUCACUGGGCCGCAACUGACGCUG
rnacentral:rRNA from 1 species